rnacentral:lncRNA from 1 species
UGCUGACGGCACAGCCAAAGCUGGCAUUGGUGUUGAGUGCACCACCAAAGCCAGCACUGGUGCUGGGAGAGCCACCAAAACAGACGCUGGUGCUUAGUGUACCACCAAAGUCAGUGUUGGUGCUGACAGCACCACCAUAACCAGCAUUGGUGUUGAGUGCACUGCCAAAGCUGACACUGGUGCCAGGAGAGCCACCAAAGCAGACACUGGUGCUUAGUGUACCGCCAAAGUCAGCACUGGUGCUCAUAGCACCACCAAAACCAGUACUGGUGUUGAGCACACUGCCAAAGCUGGCACUGGUGUUGAGAGCACCACCAAAGCCAGCACCAGUGCUGGGAGAGCCAUCAAAGCAGAUGCUGGUACUUAGUGUACCACCAAAAUUGGCACUGGUGCUGGAAGAGCCACCAAAGGAGACACUGGUGCUAAGUGUGCCUCCAAAGCCAGUGCUGGUGCAGGGAGAGCCACCGAAGCAGAUACUGGUACUGAGUGUACCACCAAAGCUACCACUGGAGCUGGGAGAGCCACCAAAACAGACACUGGUGCUGAGUAUGCCUCCAAAGCCAGUGCUGGUGCUAAGCGCACUACUGAAGACUGUGCUCGUUGUGGGUGCACUGCCAAAGCUGGUGCUAGUGCUGAGUACACCACUAAAGCCAGCCGUGGUGCUGAGUGUGCCUCCAAAGCCAGAGCUGGCUCCACCACUGAAAGUGGCACUGGUGCUGAGUGGGCCACUAAAACUAGAGCUGACUCCACCACUAAAGCUGGCACUGGUACAAGGCAUGCCACCAAAGCUAAUGCUGGCUUCACUGCUGAAACUAGUGCUGGUGCUGUGUGCACAACCAAAGCUAAUGCUGGCUGCGCUGCUGAAGCUGGAGCUAGUGCUCAGUGUACCACCAAAGCUAAUGCUGGCUGUAUUGCUGAAGCUGGCACUGGUGCUGGGUGCAACACCAAAGGUAAUGCCAGGUCCACCACUGAAGCCACCACUGGAGCUGGGUGCACCAUUGAAGCUAAUACUAGCACCAUCGCUGAAGCCAGCCCUGGUACUAGCUCCUCUGCUGAAGUUGACGUUGGUGCUGGCAUCUGCAUUUUCUUGGGCUCUGGCCUCAAUUUCAAAUGAAAAUCUGCUCCAGGCCUGAGCAUCAUCGCCUAACUCUUCCCUUGUUAGGCAGUCGAUAUCCAUGUCAUCCCAAUUCCAGGGCCCAGCCACAGCUUCCUCUCCAAUCCCCAUUUGGGCUCUUGCCUCAGCCCUGGCUUCAGCCUCAGCCACAGCCACAGCUGCAGCUUGGACUUCCAUCUCCACUGCCUCGCGGUACUGCACAGCCCAGUCCUUGGGGUCUUUCUUCUGCACCUGAAAUGGGGAUGAUAAUCAUAAUAAGAAAACAACCCUAGUAAUCAUGUAUUAACCUACGGGCUUUGUAUUAAACUAGUAGCAAUACUUUUUUAAACUUCUCAGUUAUUGGGGCUCUAUCAUGGGUCAGUUCUGAACUCCAGUUUCAGCUCUGCUGACUUACGUGCUAUAUGACCUUGGACAAGUUACUUAACCUCACUUAGCCUAAGUGUCUUUAUAAUUACAGGAAAUGAUAGAGCGUAAAUAUGUUAUGAACUGAAGGGUUGUGCCCGCCCCCAAAUUCGUAUGUUGAAUCCCUAACACCCAGUGUGAUUGUACUUGGAGAUAGGGCCUUUAUGGAGAUAAUUAAGGUUAAAUGAGGCCAUAAGGGUGGGGUCCUGAUCAACAGGAUUAGUGUCCUUAUAAGAAGAGACACCAGAAAGCUUGCUCUCUUCUCUCUCACACACAAAGCCAUGUGAGGACACAGCAAGAAGGCAGCCAUCUGCAAGCCAGGAAGAGAGCCUUCAACAGGAACUGACCCUCGUGGACCCUGACCUAGGAUUCUCGCCCUCAAGAACUAUGAGAAAAUAAAUU